rnacentral:rRNA from 1 species
CUAGCGGCGGACGGGUGAGUAAUGCUUAGGAAUCUGCCUAUUAGUGGGGGACAACAUUCCGAAAGGAAUGCUAAUACCGCAUACGCCCUACGGGGGAAAGCAGGGGAUCUUCGGACCUUGCGCUAAUAGAUGAGCCUAAGUCAGAUUAGCUAGUUGGUGGGGUAAAGGCCUACCAAGGCGACGAUCUGUAGCGGGUCUGAGAGGAUGAUCCGCCACACUGGGACUGAGACACGGCCCAGACUCCUACGGGAGGCAGCAGUGGGGAAUAUUGGACAAUGGGCGCAAGCCUGAUCCAGCCAUGCCGCGUGUGUGAAGAAGGCCUUUUGGUUGUAAAGCACUUUAAGCGAGGAGGAGGCUACCUGGAUUAAUACUCUGGGAUAGUGGACGUUACUCGCAGAAUAAGCACCGGCUAACUCUGUGCCAGCAGCCGCGGUAAUACAGAGGGUGCGAGCGUUAAUCGGAUUUACUGGGCGUAAAGCGUGCGUAGGCGGCUUUUUAAGUCGGAUGUGAAAUCCCUGAGCUUAACUUAGGAAUUGCAUUCGAUACUGGGAAGCUAGAGUAUGGGAGAGGAUGGUAGAAUUCCAGGUGUAGCGGUGAAAUGCGUAGAGAUCUGGAGGAAUACCGAUGGCGAAGGCAGCCAUCUGGCCUAAUACUGACGCUGAGGUACGAAAGCAUGGGGAGCAAACAGGAUUAGAUACCCUGGUAGUCCAUGCCGUAAACGAUGUCUACUAGCCGUUGGGGCCUUUGAGGCUUUAGUGGCGCAGCUAACGCGAUAAGUAGACCGCC